CAAUGACUAGAAGCAGAAUUUGCAAGGUAGACUUCAGGACUGGACUUUUCUGAGAUUAAGCCCUAGCUCUGCCACUACCCAGCUGUGAAAUCUUGUUGCAGGUGUGGAAUAUUUUUUCCUAGUAAUGAGGGAAGCGACUAAGUUAAUUGUUUGCUCAGAAUUACAAUCACUUUCACACCACCAUGAACUGGACAUCAUCAUGACUAAGGAGGAAACUAAAACGGGAGAGGUCAGCUGGUCUGGCUAAGGUCACACAGCUGAGCUGUGGGGCAGCCCAGGCUGUUCUCUGACCCCUUACCAAAUGACAGAUGUGCGCCUCCCCAGCAUCAGCAAGUGGUGGGUUUGUCUUUUGCUGCCUCUCCAGGCACAAAACUGAAGACUUUCUAAUGCGGAGCGUCUUUCAGGAUCUGGGUUGCUCAACUCCCUUGGAUUGGGAGGCUGCCUGCCUCACCCCUAAAGCUUAAUUAAAAUGAAGAUGAAGUGCUCGCCAUGACGGGUCACGCUCGGUGGCAGUCACUGCGCCAAGGACCCGGCGGGGCCCUCUGAUGUUGAGAAUUCUUCUCCAGCUUCUGUUCAGGCAGCAGCUUCCUCUGGGAGCCUCAUUAUAAUUCCUUUGGUAAU